UACGAAGGGUGCAAGCGUUACUCGGAAUUACUGGGCGUAAAAGCGUGCGUAGGUGGUUUCGUUAAGUCUGUCGUGAAAAGCCCCGGGCUCAACCUGGGAAUGGCGAUGGAUACUGGCGGGCUAGAGUGCGGUAGAGGAGAGUGGAAUUCCCGGUGUAGCAGUGAAAUGCGUAGAGAUCGGGAGGAACAUCAGUUGCGAAGGCGGCUCUCUGGACCAGCACUGACACUGAGGCACGAAAGCGUGGGGAGCAAACAGG
rnacentral:rRNA from 1 species